rnacentral:rRNA from 1 species
AUUGAACGCUGGCGGCAUGCCUUACACAUGCAAGUCGAACGGCAGCACGGGUGCUUGCACCUGGUGGCGAGUGGCGAACGGGUGAGUAAUACAUCGGAACAUGUCCUGUAGUGGGGGAUAGCCCGGCGAAAGCCGGAUUAAUACCGCAUACGAUCUACGGAUGAAAGCGGGGGACCUUCGGGCCUCGCGCUAUAGGGUUGGCCGAUGGCUGAUUAGCUAGUUGGUGGGGUAAAGGCCUACCAAGGCGACGAUCAGUAGCUGGUCUGAGAGGACGACCAGCCACACUGGGACUGAGACACGGCCCAGACUCCUACGGGAGGCAGCAGUGGGGAAUUUUGGACAAUGGGCGAAAGCCUGAUCCAGCAAUGCCGCGUGUGUGAAGAAGGCCUUAGGGUUGUAAAGCACUUUUGUCCGGAAAGAAAUCCUUGGCCCUAAUACGGUCGGGGGAUGACGGUACCGGAAGAAUAAGCACCGGCUAACUACGUG